AUAGGAGCCACGUCCGAACCAUAUGUAGGAAUUUCCAUGCAUCACCCCAAGAUCCUGGGUUUUGAGCUUGAUGCCAUAAUUGGAUGAGACUUUGACGUGGUCUCCCUUGGUGAAGUGGUGAGCACGUUUUGCGUUUGGAAAACAGAGUGCACCAAAUAUUAGAGACAACUGUGCAAUUUACUACCAGAAGUGUGCUUUUGUGGGGUUUUGCCUACACGGCAGUUAGUCAGUGAAUGUCUUUCCUACACCGUGACUCAAGAAACCAAGGAGGACGAGGCUCUUCAGAACCUUUAAGUCAUGAGCAUCAUGGAAGUGAAGAAUCAAACCUGACAGCUACCUGGCUCAAAACUCAUCAUCUGAAGUUUUAUAUUGAAGAUCUGCGUGAUUUAGAUGAUUGCCUUGAUUGUCUGAUGCUCUCUGCAUGGGAGGCACAUCCUCAAAGAUCUAAGGUGAAGCAUGGAGAACAUUGGAAGGAGUAACACACUGACUGUCUGCUCAUGAAUCCAAAUCCCUGGAAUGUGCCACACGGCUUUAGUCGUGUCCCCUGGGAAAAGACCAUCCACGGUUCUGCAUCUUGAGAGAAAAGGGAAGCUGGCAAGAACGCGUCUUCAAUUCAAACUGAUUCCUCCAGCGGCAUCCAUUCAAACAAUAAUACAAGUGAGAAAAUUAGAUGGUUACCAAGCAUUAUUUGGCAAAGACACAGCACCGUGCCUAUCACUGACUCACAACAGAUCCUCUAAGCCUCAGCUAACAGAUUAAGUAAACAUAGAAAUAUUUUUUUUUCUUUUUAAAGAAAGCUUGUUUAUAUCCUCUUUUACCAUAAGAUACGCUGGGGAGUUUAUUCAAGAAUUUGCUGACAGUCAUAUCCUUAUUUUUCACGUUUCCAAGGUUCUUCUUCAACACUGCAGUCGGCUGACUUUCCGCUGGCUGCCAGAGUUACCUGAAAAUAAUUAUCAUCAAUAUCCAGCUUACGGGCCACGAACCAGAAAACCACCUGGGGGGUUACGUGGAGGACCACCAGACCCAGGUUCUACUACACGACUUCAAUAUUAAUUUUAAACGUUGUUCCUUCCAAAUCGAUU